rnacentral:rRNA from 1 species
AGUGAACGCUGGCGGUAGGCCUAACACAUGCAAGUCGAACGGCAGCACAGUAAGAGCUUGCUCUUACGGGUGGCGAGUGGCGGACGGGUGAGGAAUACAUCGGCAUCUACUUUUUCGUGGGGGAUAACGUAGGGAAACUUACGCUAAUACCGCAUACGACCUACGGGUGAAAGCAGGGGAUCUUCGGACCUUGCGCGAUUCAAUGAGCCGAUGUCGGAUUAGCUAGUUGGCGGGGUAAAGGCCCACCAAGGCGACGAUACGUAGCUGGCCUGAGAGGAUGAUCGGCCACACUGGAACUGAGACACGGUCCAGACUCCUACGGGAGGCAGCAGUGGGGAAUAUUGGACAAUGGGCGAAAGCCUGAUCCAGCCAUACCGCGUGGGUGAAGAAGGCCUUCGGGUUGUAAAGCCCUUUUGUUGGGAAAGAAAAGCAGCAGGUUAAUACCCCGCUGUUCUGACGGUACCCAAAGAAUAAGCACCGGCUAACUUCGUG